UAGUGGCUUGUUGUUGUUGUUGUGAUUGCAAAGCUUCGAUGUCUUGUUGGAAGUGUUGCUGGGAUUGACGGUGCUCCUGUAAAUGAGGAGGGAUAUUACUCUGAGAUAUUCCAGCUUUAUUAUGAAAGUUAGCAUGAUGCUGUUCCAGCUCAUCAUAACUAUCAUCGAGGUAUCCGCCAAUCUCUGCCACCCAAGUCAUGUAUUCAUCGACCCAACAUCUAAUUACCCAAAGAGCCCCAAAUGCUUCACCU